AUUGAACGCUGGCGGCAGGCCUAACACAUGCAAGUCGAACGGUAACAGGAAGACGCUUGCUUCUUUGCUGACGAGUGGCGGACGGGUGAGUAAUGUCUGGGAAACUGCCUGAUGGAGGGGGAUAACUACUGGAAACGGUAGCUAAUACCGCAUAACGUCGCAAGACCAAAGAGGGGGACCUUCGGGCCUCUUGCCAUCGGAUGCGCCCAGAUGGGUUUAGCUAGUAGGUGGGGUAACGGCUCACCUAGGCGGCGAUCCCUAGCUGGUCUGAGAGGAUGACCAGCCACACUGGAACGGAGACACGGUCCAGACUCCUACGGGAGGCAGCAGUGGGGAAUAUUGCACAAUGGGCGCAAGCCUGAUGCAGCCAUGCCGCGUGUAUGAAGAAGGCCUUCGGGUUGUAAAGUACUUUCAGCGGUGAGGAAGGGAGUAAAGUUAAUACCUUGGCUCAUUGACGUUACCCGAAGAAGAAGCACCGGCUAACUCCGUG
rnacentral:rRNA from 1 species